rnacentral:rRNA from 1 species
GUAACGGCGAGUGAAGCGGCAAUAGCUCAAAUUUGAAAUCUGGCUCUUUCAGGGUCCGAGUUGUAAUUUGCAGAGGGCGCUUUGGAGUCGACAGCAGCCUAAGUUCCUUGGAACAGGUCAUCAUAGAGGGUGAGAAUCCCGUAUGUGGCUGCUUGCCUUCGCCGUGUAAAGCCCCUUCGAUGAGUCGAGUUGUUUGGGAAUGCAGCUCUAAAUGGGAGGUAAAUUUCUUCUAAAGCUAAAUAUUGGCCAGAGACCGAUAGCGCACAAGUAGAGUGAUCGAAAGAUGAAAAGCACUUUGGAAAGAGAGUCAAAAAGCACGUGAAAUUGUUGAAAGGGAAGCGCUUGCAGCCAGACGUGCCCGUAGUUGCUCAUCUGGGGUUCUCCCCAGUGCACUCUUCUAUGGGCAGGCCAGCAUCAGUCCGGGCGGUUGGAGAAAGACCUGUGUCACGUAGCUCUCUUCGGGGAGUGUUAUAGGGCAGGUGGAAUGCAACCAGCCUGGACUGAGGUCCGCGCAUCUGCUAGGAUGCUGGCGUAAUGGCUGUAAGCGGCCCGUCUUGAAACACGGACCAAGGAGUCUAACAUCUAUGCGAGUGUUUGGGUGUCAAGCCCGAGCGCGUAAUGAAAGUGAACGGAGGUGGGAACCCCUCGGGGUGCACCAUCGACCGAUCCUGAUGUCUUCGGAUGGAUUUGAGUAAGAGCAUAGCUGUUGGGACCCGAAAGAUGGUGAACUAUGCCUGAAUAGGGUGAAGCCAGAGGAAACUCUGGUGGAGGCUCGCAGCGGUUCUGACGUGCAAAUCGAUCGUCAAAUUUGGGCAUAGGGGCGAAAGACUAAUCGAACUAUCUAGUAGCUGGUUCCUGCCGAAGUUUCCCUCAGGAUAGCAGUAACGUUUUCAGUUUUAUGAGGUAAAGCGAAUGAUUAGAGGCCUGGGGGUUGAAACAACCUUCACCUAUUCUCAAACUUUAAAUAUGUAAGAAGUCCUUGUUUCUUAA